UGCUGCGCUUCACACUGUCCCCGCGCGCACUAAAUCGGAAUCCAGUCACCUGGCACCACGCCCCCUGGCGCCUUAAGGACCGCCACCAUCCAGUUGCUCGGAAAUAGGCGUUCGCCUCUCGUCGUCAGAGAUGGACCGAGGCUCAAAAAGCGAGGUGAAUAGGCAGCCCUCAUUUUUUUUCACGUGGAUCAGAACCUGGACCGGUGUUUGUUCUCUCGCGUCCUCCGAUCCCUUUUGACUCCUGCCACCAUGAGUUUCUAAAAAGGACUGGAGAUCCUACCACUCAUUCGGAUUCAUUCACCCAGAGGAACAGUGCAUGCUGACUGGUCGAGGCUUCAUAAGAAAUCAGUGAUUUUGAGGCAGCUGAGAGUUGCUUCUCUUCUUCCAUCCAUUAUGUGGUUCUGGGAAAUCAAACUUGGGUCAUUUGGUUCAUUUGAACUCAGGCUGUCUCCCUCAUGGUUGACUUGGAGGAAAUGUCUUCAAAGUCAGUGCUUAGGACACUGCCUUGACCUGACUCCUGGCUGGCCUUCAAGCACUUCUUGAAGCAUUCUGGCACUUGAGGGCUGUACACUGGAUACAAAUUACCUCAAUAGUAGGCCCACCUUCCAUCUCCGGACUCCACCAAGUUUUACUAAGGUACUUCCUGGGGACCAGUCUGGCAUUCCCUGUCUCCUGACCAGGUAGGUGUUGUAUCUUAAGUUUAUUUACUUAAGGAGAGGAUACCCCAGCAUGCCUGUGGAGGUCAGAGGACAACCUGCAGGAGUCAGUUCUCUCCUUUCCUCUUGGAUUCUCAAGAUUGAACUCAGAGCCAC